rnacentral:rRNA from 1 species
CAUGCAAGUCGAGCGGUAGCACAGAGAGCUUGCUCUCGGGUGACGAGCGGCGGACGGGUGAGUAAUGUCUGGGAAACUGCCUGAUGGAGGGGGAUAACUACUGGAAACGGUAGCUAAUACCGCAUAACGUCGCAAGACCAAAGUGGGGGACCUUCGGGCCUCAUGCCAUCAGAUGUGCCCAGAUGGGAUUAGCUAGUAGGUGGGGUAAUGGCUCACCUAGGCGACGAUCCCUAGCUGGUCUGAGAGGAUGACCAGCCACACUGGAACUGAGACACGGUCCAGACUCCUACGGGAGGCAGCAGUGGGGAAUAUUGCACAAUGGGCGCAAGCCUGAUGCAGCCAUGCCGCGUGUAUGAAGAAGGCCUUCGGGUUGUAAAGUACUUUCAGCGAGGAGGAAGGCAUUAAGGUUAAUAACCUUGGUGAUUGACGUUACUCGCAGAAGAAGCACCGGCUAACUCCGUGCCAGCAGCCGCGGUAAUACGGAGGGUGCAAGCGUUAAUCGGAAUUACUGGGCGUAAAGCGCACGCAGGCGGUCUGUCAAGUCGGAUGUGAAAUCCCCGGGCUCAACCUGGGAACUGCAUUCGAAACUGGCAGGCUAGAGUCUUGUAGAGGGGGGUAGAAUUCCAGGUGUAGCGGUGAAAUGCGUAGAGAUCUGGAGGAAUACCGGUGGCGAAGGCGGCCCCCUGGACAAAGACUGACGCUCAGGUGCGAAAGCGUGGGGAGCAAACAGGAUUAGAUACCCUGGUAGUCCACGCCGUAAACGAUGUCGACUUGGAGGUUGUGCCCUUGAGGCGUGGCUUCCGGAGCUAACGCGUUAAGUCGACCGCCUGGGGAGUACGGCCGCAAGGUUAAAACUCAAAUGAAUUGACGGGGGCCCGCACAAGCGGUGGAGCAUGUGGUUUAAUUCGAUGCAACGCGAAGAACCUUACCUACUCUUGACAUCCAGAGAACUUAGCAGAGAUGCUUUGGUGCCUUCGGGAACUCUGAGACAGGUGCUGCAUGGCUGUCGUCAGCUCGUGUUGUGAAAUGUUGGGUUAAGUCCCGCAACGAGCGCAACCCUUAUCCUUUGUUGCCAGCGGUUCGGCCGGGAACUCAAAGGAGACUGCCAGUGAUAAACUGGAGGAAGGUGGGGAUGACGUCAAGUCAUCAUGGCCCUUACGAGUAGGGCUACACACGUGCUACAAUGGCAUAUACAAAGAGAAGCGACCUCGCGAGAGCAAGCGGACCUCAUAAAGUAUGUCGUAGUCCGGAUUGGAGUCUGCAACUCGACUCCAUGAAGUCGGAAUCGCUAGUAAUCGUAGAUCAGAAUGCUACGGUGAAUACGUUCCCGGGCCUUGUACACACCGCCCGUCACACCAUGGGAGUGGGUUGCAAAAGAAGUAGGUAGCUUANCCUUCGGGAGGGCGCUUACCA